UUUCCGUUGGUGAACCAGCGGAGGGAUCAUU
rnacentral:rRNA from 1 species